GGGAAUUUUCGACAAUGGGGGAAACCCUGAUCGAGCGACGCCGCGUGAGUGAUGAAGGCCUUCGGGUUGUAAAGCUCUGUGAUAGAGGAAGAAUGGUAAGGAUAGGAAAUGAUCUUUAUUUGACAGUACUCUGUUAGAAAGCCACGGCAAACUACGUGCCAGCAGCCGCGGUAAUACGUAGGUGGCAAGCGUUAUCCGGAAUUAUUGGGCGUAAAGGGUGAGUAGGCGGUUGAUCAAGUCUGCAAUGAAAUGCUGAUGCUUAACAUCAGUCUGUUGUGGAAACUGAUCGACUAGAGACUAGGAGAGGUUAGCGGAAUUCCAUGUGUAGCGGUAAAAUGCGUAGAUAUAUGGAGGAACACCAGUGGCGAAGGCGGCUAACUGGCCUAGGCCUGAC
rnacentral:rRNA from 1 species